GGGGGGGGGGGGGGGGGGGGGGGGGAGGGGGGGGUGGUAGGGGAAGGGUCCGGCUGGCUGGGGGGCUCGAGUGGCUAACGGGUGAGUAACACGGGGGUGAUCUGCCCUUGACGCUGGGGUAAGCCUGGGAAACUGGGGCCAAUAAUGGAUAUGACCUUGCUCCUUAUGGUGUUUGGUGGAACGUUUUUCGGUGUUGGAGGAGCCCGCGGCCUAUCAGCUUGUUGGUGGGGUGAUGGGCUACCAAGGCGACGACGGGUAGCCGGUCUGAGAGGGUGAUCGGCCACAUUGGGAAUGAGAUACGGCCCAGACUCCUACGGGAGGCAGCAGUGGGGAAUAUUGCACAAUGGGCGGAAGCCUGAUGCAGCGACGCCGCGUGAGGGAUGACGGCCUUCGGGUUGUAAACCUCUUUCAGCAGGGACGAAGCGUAAGUGACGGUACCUGCAGAAGAAGCACCGGCUAACUAUGUG
rnacentral:rRNA from 1 species